rnacentral:rRNA from 1 species
CCUACGGGAGGCUGCAGUCGAGAAUCAUUCACAAUGGGGGAAACCCUGAUGGUGCGACGCCGCGUGGGGGAAUGAAGGUCUUCGGAUUGUAAACCCCUGUCAUGUGGGAGCAAAUUAAAAAGAUAGUACCACAAGAGGAAGAGACGGCUAACUCUGUGCCAGCAGCCGCGGUAAUACAGAGGUCUCAAGCGUUGUUCGGAAUCACUGGGCGUAAAGCGUGCGUAGGCUGUUUCGUAAGUCGUGUGUGAAAGGCGCGGGCUCAACCCGCGGACGGCACAUGAUACUGCGAGACUAGAGUAGUGGAGGGGGAACCGGAAUUCUCGGUGUAGCAGUGAAAUGCGUAGAUAUCGAGAGGAACACUCGUGGCGAAGGCGGGUUCCUGGACAUUAACUGACGCUGAGGCACGAAGGCCAGGGGAGCGAAAGGGAUUAGAUACCCGGGUAGUC